AUUGAACGCUGGCGGCAGGCUUAACACAUGCAAGUCGAGCGGAGAUGAGGUGCUUGCACCUUAUCUUAGCGGCGGACGGGUGAGUAAUGCUUAGGAAUCUGCCUAUUAGUGGGGGACAACAUUCCGAAAGGAAUGCUAAUACCGCAUACGUCCUACGGGAGAAAGCAGGGGAUCUUCGGACCUUGCGCUAAUAGAUGAGCCUAAGUCGGAUUAGCUAGUUGGUGGGGUAAAGGCCUACCAAGGCGACGAUCUGUAGCGGGUCAGAGAGGAUGGUCCGCCACACUGGGACUGAGACACGGCCCAGACUCCUACGGGAGGCAGCAGUGGGGAAUAUUGGACAAUGGGGGAAACCCUGAUCCAGCCAUGCCGCGUGUGUGAAGAAGGCCUUAUGGUUGUAAAGCACUUUAAGCGAGGAGGAGGCUACUGAGACUAAUACUCUUGGAUAGUGGACGUUACUCGCAGAAUAAGCACCGGCUAACUCUGUGCCAGCCGCCGCGGUAAGAC
rnacentral:rRNA from 1 species